rnacentral:rRNA from 1 species
AGUGACGAUAGCCUAGGAGAUACACCUGUACCCAUGCCGAACACAGCAGUUAAGCCCUAGAACGCCUGAAGUAGUUGGGGGUUGCCCCCUGUUAGAUAUGGUAGUCGCUUAGCA